rnacentral:rRNA from 1 species
GACGAACGCUGGCGGCGUGCUUAACACAUGCAAGUCGAACGGAAAGGCUCCAGCUUGCUGGAGUACUCGAGUGGCGAACGGGUGAGUAACACGUGGGUGAUCUGCCCUGCACUUCGGGAUAAGCCUGGGAAACUGGGUCUAAUACCGGAUAGGACCGCACUUUGGUGUGUGUGGUGGAAAGGUUUUUCUGGUGUGGGAUGAGCUCGCGGCCUAUCAGUUUGUUGGUGGGGUAAUGGCCUACCAAGACGGCGACGGGUAGCCGGCCUGAGAGGGUGGACGGUCACAUUGGGACUGAGGUACGGCCCAGACUCCUACGGGAGGCAGCAGGGGGGAAUAUUGCACAAUGGGGGAAACCCUGAUGCAGCGACGCCGCGUGGGGGAUGAAGGCCUUCGGGUUGUAAACUCCUUUCGCUAGGGACGAAGCUUUUUGUGACGGUACCUGGAGAAGAAGCACCGGCUAACUACGUG